UGAGGAAUAUUGGUCAAUGGGCGAGAGCCUGAACCAGCCAAGUAGCGUGCAGGAUGACGGCCCUAUGGGUUGUAAACUGCUUUUAUGUGGGGAUAAAGUGCGUGACGUGUCAUGCAUUGCAGGUACCACAUGAAUAAGGACCGGCUAAUUCCGUGCCAGCAGCCGCGGUAAUACGGAAGGUCCGGGCGUUAUCCGGAUUUAUUGGGUUUAAAGGGAGCGUAGGCUGUCUAUUAAGCGUGUUGUGAAAUAUACCGGCUCAACCGGUGGCUUGCAGCGCGAACUGGUCGACUUGAGUAUGCAGGAAGUAGGCGGAAUUCAUGGUGUAGCGGUGAAAUGCUUAGAUAUCAUGACGAACUCCGAUGUCGCAGGCAGCUUACUGUAGCAUAACUGACGCUGAUGCUCGAAAGUGCGGGUAUCAAACAGG
rnacentral:rRNA from 1 species